rnacentral:rRNA from 1 species
GUCUAUGGCCACGCCACCCUGAACAAGCCGGAUCCCGUCUGAUCUCGGAAGCUAAGCAGGGUCGGGCCUCGUUAGUACUUGCAUGAGAGACCACCUAGAAAGACCAGGUGCUGUAGGCG